AGGCUCUCACGUGGUCUGCCUCCGCGCCUGCACUCUCGGGCAGCUGCCGGGGCCACCUGGAGAGCCGAGCAGCGCGAGCACAGUCUACCUGGAAAGGAAGAUCAAGAAAAACUAAACAAAAAGACACUUUACACCAUUUGCUUUAUUUGCUCAAUCUCUCUCUGGAUCCAAAGAAAAACAAGAGGGUUCUUUUUGCCUUCUACUCCUCAAAACACACCAGGAGCUCAGCAAUUGGAGGGGAGGCUGAAGGACAAAAACAUUAAUACCUCAUAGAGCAACGGUAUAAGAGCCAAUAGAGACUGCUGGCCCUGGAAGUCAAGGAUCCGAAAGAAGGCGCCCAAUCAUUUGGUUUCAUUCGAUCGUUUUUCAGUCUUCUACCAUCAUAGUUCCACCCUCCUACUCGGAUGCCUACCGUGGGGCCCUUACCAUUGCUCUCCUCUGCAGGAAUGCCCGCCUCUUCUUGCACUCAAGCCCCUGUUCUAUUCAGAAAUUAGAAAAAAGUUACCUCGAUAGGCAGAGAAUUCAACUGUGAGUUGACAAUUAUUUACGAUUGUAUUAACUGGCUGUUUCACAACAUUAUGGAGCUAAGAGAGGAUGAAAGCUUACCACUGCUUGGAUACCAGCUUGAUAAGCAGCUUGGAAUGUCAAAUAUAUAACAAGAAAUGAAAUAUUCUACUUUAAAGGAACAUGCACAUCAGAUGUCACCUGUAUAUGAAUCGUUCCUGCCACAAUACUAGCAGAAUGACGCCAAAAAUGAGGGUCUCGGUAUGAUAUUAAUCCUUCAAUUUUCUGUAUCUGUCAAAUAAAAGAGGUGACAUAAACGGUCA